CAGGGGCUAGUAUAAAAAAGACCACCAAUUUCGACUUGGUAGAUCCUGGAUUAACCCAGGGCCCCAA
rnacentral:tRNA from 1 species